rnacentral:rRNA from 1 species
UGGGGAAUUUUGCGCAAUGGGCGAAAGCCUGACGCAGCGACGCCGCGUGGAGGAUGAAGGCCCUUGGGUUGUAAACUCCUGUCAGGUGGGAAGAAAGAUCUUCGGUAAACAGCCGAGGAUUCUGACUGUACCACCGGAGGAAGCCCCGGCUAACUCUGUGCCAGCAGCCGCGGUAAUACAGAGGGGGCAAGCGUUGUUCGGAAUUACUGGGCGUAAAGGGCGCGUAGGCGGCCUUCUAAGUCAGACGUGAAAUCCCCGGGCUCAACCCGGGAACUGCGUCUGAUACUGGAAGGCUUGAAUCCGGGAGAGGGAUGUGGAAUUCCAGGUGUAGCGGUGAAAUGCGUAGAUAUCUGGAGGAACACCGGUGGCGAAGGCGGCAUCCUGGACCGGUAUUGACGCUGAGGCGCGAAAGCCAGGGGAGCAAA